GGGACCGACCUUCGGGAGCCUAUACAGGUGUUGCAUGGCUGUCGUCAGCUCGUGUCGUGAGAUGUUCGGUUAAGUCCGCUAGCGAGCGCAACCCUCGUCGUAUGUUAUAUGUGUCAUACGAGACUGCCGGUAAAAAGCCGGAGGAAGGUGAGGAUGAUGUCAAGUCAGCAUGACCUUUAUAUCCAGGGCUACACACACGCUACAAUGGUCUGUACAAUGGGUAGCCAAGCCGCGAGGCGGAGCCAAUCCUGAAAGCAGGCCUCAGUUCAGAUUGCAGUCUGCAACUCGACUGCAUGAAGCCGGAGUUGCUAGUAACCGCAGGUCAGCAAUACUGCGGUGAAUACGUUCCCGGGUCUU
rnacentral:rRNA from 1 species